rnacentral:misc_RNA from 1 species
CAACCCUCGGGACCCCUUCAGGGGACCCGGUGUUGGGGAUCAGGGUCCUUCGGGCCCCUGCCCCCUAAAUACAGUGGCGGUCGCGCCGCAGCCUCCCCUGCGUAGUAAUGCACAUCGCACCGGAGAGCGGCACGGCCACGCCGUAAAACCCCCCAAUUUUACAA